ensembl:snRNA U2 U2 spliceosomal RNA
ACUGCUUCUCGGCCUUUUGGCUAAGAUCAAGUGUAGUAUAUUGUACUUCUGUGCAUCAUAUACCUUGUCCUUUAUUAUAUCUGAUUCAUAGGUGUUUUAUACAUAAUUUUGGAAUUAUUUCCUUCCCAUAAUACUUCAGUGUAGCAAAGUUGACAUCUU